CCAGAGACGCUGCCGAGAGGUGGCAGAGCAAGGUACCAUGAGGAGGAGGCCAGACUGGAGUCCUUUGAGGACUGGCCGUUUUAUGCCCAUGGGACAUCACCUCGUGUACUCUCAGCUGCUGGCUUUGUCUUCACAGGUAAAAGGGACACUGUGCAGUGUUUCUCCUGUGGUGGAUGCUUGGGAAACUGGGAAGAAGGAGAUGAUCCCUGGAAGGAGCAUGCCAAGUGGUUCC
rnacentral:lncRNA from 1 species